rnacentral:misc_RNA from 1 species
CCCCUUCUACGUAUAUUUUGUUACCCCAUUUUUCCUUUUCCUUCAAAAGUAGAUAUGCUAGACCGGAUUGGUCAUCCGAUUCCUGGAAUAUCUUGUCUUUGAAAGUUGUAUGUAAGAUUUCACCCCACUUGUCGUAUUCCGGUGACUGUGGCCCCAUUUUCGCCCAAGUUUCCAUUAAGUCCAUGGCCCCUUCUACGUAUAUUUUGUUACCCCAUUUUUCCUUUUCCUUCAAAAGUAGAUAUGCUAGACCGGAUUGGUCAUCCGAUUCCUGGAAUAUCUUGUCUUUGAAAGUUGUAUGUAAGAUUUCACCCCACUUGUCGUAUUCCGGUGACUGUGGCCCCAUUUUCGCCCAAGUUUCCAUUAAGUCCAUGGACCAUUGACAGUUCCGAAUCAAGAAAACUCCGGCAUUGAUGCUUGUCCAGCUUUGUUGCUCGUAUAAUAACUUUUCCCAACCAUGAAGUACGAAAUUAUGGUCUUUGUAACGAUCCAAAGGAAGUUUGAAGUCCAUGUCGGUGAACGCAGCAUCUGAAUCGACCCACCAGAUCCACUCAGUUUCAGGAUGAGCUAUCAUGGCAGCUUUAAUCGCCGGCAUUUUUGCCCAAAACGACCACAUCUUAGGCUGAAGUAAAACGUUGUUGUAAAAAAUAUCGUACCCGUGGAUUCGGCAGUAGUCUACUUUGUUCUUGAAGAAUCUAAGCAGCAAAUGGUCGCCUAUUGGGUUCUUACACGGCGUCGACUGUGAACCGGAAACCAUCAGAAUCCGUUCCUCUGCUCCGGGGAUGAAAGAGGGAUGCAAAUUCAGCCAUUGCCUUCGUUUCUCGUCCCACUUCUUAAUCGGCUUCUCCAUAGUGUAACUCAAAUCCGGGUCGUCAUAGAAAGUCGGGUCGGGCGGGUCGUACCGUAAAUUGAAGCCUAAUGAAACCGGGUCUACCUGAGUUUUCAAGGCGGAGUUUUGGUCGGCGGAAGUGGUUAAAAAACUGGGAUCGGCAUUUGGACUAGUGCUCAUGAAGGACCAAAAGGCCCAUAUUACUAGCAAAGCCACAAUACUUGCACCAGCAAAGAGAAAUCCAUCAGAGAAAAUAGAAGAAAUUUUACUUCUACAGUUUUGCUUAGCCAUGGAUGUGUAAGAUGUAUGAGUUUGGGGCAACUGAGGCGUUACCAUUUUAUGAGGGAGUGCAUACGUUACCCAGGCAAGCUGGCUUUACGUCUAGUAGCAAUAAAAAAGUUGUCACCAUCUACUGGACAUUGUGUCCAGCUUUGGUUCUGUGAGUGUUAAGAAGAUAGUUCGAAGAGCAAUUUUGGCAGUAACUAAGAAAGCAUACAAAUUCCGUUGAGUAUGUGACGAUAGAAAAGUAGAUAUGGAGAUGGGUGUCGGUGAAGUGAAGUGAGUAGAAACAAGUGUUCAUCACCUCACUAAACUUGCUGCCAUUGUCUGGACUUCAGUCGGUUUGGUGCGG